rnacentral:lncRNA from 1 species
CCCUCAGUGUCAAGAUAUUUUUAACAAUUUUUCCUAUAGUAAGCUGCUGUCUCUAGCGCAAGUGGUAACGAAUUUAACCGUUGAUAUUCAAAAAUUUAAAUUCAAAACUUAGUUAUUUCAUGUUUUUAGUUAAAUUUAUUUUUUAUAAAAAAAUAAAACGAAUAGUAUACUAUUUUUUCUUUAAAAAAUAAUUUUUAUAUAAUAAUUAUUUUGAAACCACCACAUAACAAUUAGAAUGUAGUAGUCGACUGUCACUGGCGUAAGUGACAAAGAACUUUAUUCUUGAUAUCCGAGGUCCUAAUUUUAGCUACUGUUUGGUUCGGGGUUAAGGAAAAACUAGUUAUUCUAGGGAUAGGGUUAAGUUUAGGAUUAAGGUGGGGUUAGAAUAUUUUUGUAUUUGGUUGUGGGUUGGAGUUAGUCCAGGAUAGUGAAAAAUAGUGUUUGGUUAGAGUAGGCGGGAUAAGAAGGAUAAUGAGUUAUUAUGAAUAGAAAAUAAUGUUUGGUUGAGAUUUGGUAGGGUUAGGUGAGGUUAGCUAAUCCGGAAUAACCCAUUUGAGGUGGGGUUAGCUAACCCCACCCAUUUUUAAAAAUAUUUGGGGAUAAAAUGGAGGUUAAGGGGUUAUUCCACCCCUUAACCCCCAACCAAACUGAGGCUUAAAGUUUUGUUA